AACGAACGCUGGCGGUGUGCUUAACACAUGCAAGUCGAACGAGAACAUUCCUUUCGGGGAACUAGUAAAGUGGCGCAAGGGUGAGUAACACGUGAAUAAUCUGCCCUCGAGAUCGGGAUAACCUGGCGAAAGCUAGGCUAAUACCGGAUAAGACCACAUUCCAUAGGGAAUGCGGAAAAAGGAGUCUCAACCUUCACUCGAGGAUGAGUUCGCGGACCAUUAGCUUGUUGGUGAGAUAAAAGCUCACCAAGGCUACGAUGGAUAGCCGGCCUGAGAGGGUGAACGGCCACACUGGAACUGAGACACGGUCCAGACUCCUACGGGAGGCAGCAGUGGGGAAUAUUGCGCAAUGGGCGGAAGCCUGACGCAGCAACACCGUGUGAGCGAUG
rnacentral:rRNA from 1 species